GCGGGGUUGCCCUAGCCUGGUAGGGGGCAGGCCUGCUAAGCCUGUGGCCGGUUUCGGCCGCGCGGGUUCAAAUCCCGCACCCCGCG
rnacentral:tRNA from 1 species